rnacentral:rRNA from 1 species
CCUACGGGAGGCAGCAGUGGGGAAUCUUGCGCAAUGGGCGAAAGCCUGACGCAGCCAUGCCGCGUGAAUGAUGGAGGUCUUAGGAUUGUAAAAUUCUUUCACCGGGGACGAUAAUGACGGUACCCGGAGAAGAAGCCCCGGCUAACUUCGUGCCAGCAGCCGCGGUAAUACGAAGGGGGCUAGCGUUGCUCGGAAUUACUGGGCGUAAAGGGAGCGUAGGCGGAUAGUUUAGUCAGAGGUGAAAGCCCAGGGCUCAACCUUGGAAUUGCCUUUGAUACUGGCUAUCUUGAGUGUGGGAGAGGUAUGUGGAACUCCGAGUGUAGAGGUGAAAUUCGUAGAUAUUCGGAAGAACACCAGUGGCGAAGGCGACAUACUGGCCCAUUACUGACGCUGAGGCUCGAAAGCGUGGGGAGCAAACAGGAUUAGAUACCCUGGUAGUCCACGCUGUAAACGAUGAGUGCUAGUUGUCAGCAUGCAUGCAUGUCGGUGACGCAGCUAACGACAUUAAGACACCUCCGCCGUCGGGGAGGUACGGUCGCGAAGAAGUUAAAACUAACAAUAGAAGUUAGUACGGCGUGAGACGUAGACCGACGGACGACGACGAGGGAGGAGGG